AUGGAUCGCGCCGCCGCCCUGCUCCCCACCGAUGCCGUCGCUCUCCCACCCAUCCACUGCCCCUGCCCACUGCACCUACCCUCUGUUGCAUUCCAUCGCCUCCACCGCCACCGUGAACCAUCUCUCUCCUUAGUCCUCUCUCUUGGACUAGCACGCUACGGCGGAUGCUUCCGGUCAUGUGGAGGCGGCGCGGCAGGCAAUAACAAUGGUCUCCUGUUGUGCCCCUCCACUCAUCGGACCGCCGAGGCAUGGAAGUACCCGGAGAAGUUGGUGCUCCGCGUAGCAAAUUUGUGCCCCUCCACUCAUCGGACCGCCGAGGCAUGGAACUACUUGGAGAAGAUGGUGCUCCGCGUAGCAAAUUCGGAUGUGUUUUGA
rnacentral:rRNA from 1 species